AGAGCGGCCGGCCAGGCUCCGGCUGGAGGAAGCCUCUGGGUCGGCUUCAGCAAGUCAAGCAAGACAAAUUCCAUGGCCAAGAGCUUGUUAAGAUGACCAGCAAAGAGGAGAUUCAAAAAGGCGUUUUUGCAAACUUAUUCAACCUUAUCACCCGCUCCCUGUGGGGAACCAGACAGAAACCCAGGGCCUUGCACCAGUUGGCCAAGUGAGGGCCUGAUGCCCUCGGCAGAAACUGGGAACAAAGCUUCGGUCUUUAAAGACAUCUCUUUCUGACCAGCGUCACCUGAAUCUGGUCUGGGCUCAGCUUCAGCCAAUUGCUCUUUUGCCAUUUUAAUAGGUUUAGUGGCAUCAGAUGAUAGCUCUAUGUUUCUAUACCUCUAUAUCUAUAUCUCUAUAUAAUCACCAGAUUUUUUUUUAAUAUAUAUAUACACACACAUAUAUAUCAUCACCAUCAUCCCUGAGCGCUACAGCAUGCUGUCGUUUCUUUCCUAAGGGGUUCGUGCAGCUUUUGAUGAGAAGACAGGAUACUAUGAAUAUUUUUAAGACUUUAACUCUGAGUAUAGCUGCUUUUCACUGGCUUUUUUUGCCCCAAAGGAUCUGUUCCAGAGGGUAUAGCUCAAAUGUUUUUCUCAGAGUUUUGCAGGUGUGCUGGAAGCAAUCAUCUCAGACAGAGCCAGCGUGGCACAGGAUAAAUUGAAGCAGGGAUCUUCCUUUCUCACUCCUUUUGUAUUACGCUAAUAUUUAACAAUAAUUUAUCAACAAGCUCGCGCGGACCGACGUUUUCUUGGAAAUGUGAUUGUUUUACAGUAUCCUUUCAGAUCAGGGAGUCAGCAGCAGCAGUAGUACCUCAGAGAAGGCAAGUGUCGUGCCCAUCACGCAGAAAGAAGCGGCAGGCAGCAGCGGGCGAAGGUUGUGCCCCAACCAUCACAAACCCCUUUUUCUUCCAAAUGGGCGAGGUUUGCAGGGUCACGUUCUGACAGAUGCCCAAGCGGCUGUGCAAGCAGAUGGGCACAAAUGAGAAACAACCUGCCCUGCUGUGCCUCUCGCAACAGACCUUCUCCAAGAAGAGUCCUUACCAGCCCAUGCUGCAAAAGGGGGAAAGAAGAUAAGAGCGAUCCAGCACCCAGAAGCCUCCAGCUGCAAAUGACAUUUUGUACUGAUUCAGCCGAACAACGCUAACAGGAUUUCAACUAUGGGAUGAGAUACUUUACUAAAAGAUUUACCAGGUUUUCCUAUUCCAAGUGACUGAGUUUAUAAAAAACAAAGCAAAGAAAUCAAUAAGAGGGAGCUUGACGAUACGAAGUCUAAGACGGAGGAAAAAUACCCAAAGUGCAGAAGCAGCAAUACAGCUUGGCAAUAAGUAAGUGAAGAAAUCAAAACUAAAAGAGGAAGAGGAAGACUUUCCCUUACUUCCCACUGGAAAAAAGUUCUCUGGAUUACAUCCACCGAAGACUCCGGGAACUUGAAAUGAGAUUAAGACGCAAGUCAAACACUUAAGAGCAGUAGCGUGGUCCUGAAGCUCCAGGUUGGUUUAGUUUGUGGCUCCUGCCGGCACGACGGUCCCCGUAUUUCUGGUCCAAAAAAAGGUCUGAAGUCACCUUACGGUGGGGAUUUAAACUGGGCUCGCGCUGGAGCGGUCAUGCUGGAAAGCCCUUCCCUUUCUCCCGCCUGAGCUUCAGGGGAAGCAAAAAAAAC